rnacentral:rRNA from 1 species
CCUACGGGAGGCAGCAGUGGGGAAUAUUGCACAAUGGCGGGAACCCUGAUGCAGCAAUGCCGCGUGGGUGAAGAAGCACUCCGGUGCGUUAAGCCCUGUCAGCAGGGAAGAAAUUGAUAGUACCUGGACAAGAAUCCCCGGCUAACUACGUGCCAGCAGCCGCGGUUAUACGUAGGGGGCAAGCGUUAUCCGGAUUUACUGGGUGUGAAGGGAGUGCAGGCGGCGUGGCAAGUCAGAUGGGAAAACGCGGGGCCCAACCCCGGGAGUGCAUUUGAAACUGCCAUGCUGGAGUGCCGGAGAGGUAGGCGGAAUAAGUAGAGUAGCGGUGAAAUGCGUAGAUAUUAGGAGGAACACCGGUGGCGAAGGCGGUCUGCUGGACAGCAACUGACGCUGAGGCGCGAGAGCGUGGGGAGCGAACAGGAUUAGAUACCCCAGUAGUC